rnacentral:rRNA from 1 species
CCUACGGGGGGCAGCAGUGAGGAAUAUUGGUCAAUGGACGAGAGUCUGAACCAGCCAAGUAGCGUGAAGGAUGACUGCCCUAUGGGUUGUCAACUUCUUUUAUAAAGGAAUAAAACGAGGCACGUGUGCCUUUUUGCAUGUACUUUAUGAAUAAGGAUCGGCUAACUCCGUGCCAGCAGCCGCGGUAAUACGGAGGAUCCGAGCGUUAUCCGGAUUUAUUGGGUUUAAAGGGAGCGUAGAUGGGUUGUUAAGUCAGUUGUGAAAGUUUGCGGCUCAACCCGGGCCUUGCAGCGCGAACUGGCGUGCUUGAGUCCGCGGAAAGCAGGCGGAAUUCGUCGUGUAGCGGUGAAAUGCUUAGAUAUGACGAAGAACCCCGAUUGCGAAGGCAGCUUGCUGCAGCGGAACUGACGCUGAUGCUCGAAAGCGCGGGUAUCGAACAGGAUUAGAUACCCUAGUAGUC